rnacentral:lncRNA from 1 species
CACGGCCCCCUCCUAGUUCUCCCGCCCUUUCAGCAGCCCCCGCCCCUUGCCCGGCGGGCCCAGCGUGGCGCUCCUGCCCUGCGGUACGAAACGCCAGUCCUUCGGGAUCGGGCAGCCAAAAUAGUUUGCCUUGAACCGGAGGGUUUCUGAACACAGCGACUGCCCGGGGUGGGGGGGUCGGCGGCAGCACGGAGCCCCAUCGCUAACUGCCUCUCCUGUAUUUGCUACUUUAGGGAGACAAAACGCGAGCACCCUUUGCCAAUCCUCUUACAGCCCAUACUGCGUAUAAAACCAGGAGCACUGCCUUCCACAUGUUGAAGAGAUGAACAGGAUAUCUGUAAGAAGGACGAAGAACCAGGCUCUUUAAGUCCUACAGAACUGUCACUGUUGCUAAAGGAAGCAAUCCUGACAAUCAAGUGGAGCGCUGAAAAUAAUUUAUGGGUGGCAAGGAGAAUCUACCUACUAAAGACUACAUUCAAAUUUUACAAACAGAAACUCAGCAAAGACUCAUGGAGUACCAGAAACAGCAGCAACAACAAAAUAACUUAUAAAAAGGCAGACCCAAUCUAAGGCAACUAGGUUACUUUCCCCCUUUUCUUUUCUAAGUUAGAAGGAAAAGCACCAAACUGCUCCACAUGAGUACCUGAGCAAAGACUAAAGGCAAAUGUUCACCACUACAGUCAUUAGCAUAUUCGUACAACAGAAGCGCAGAUAACAUUCACAACACUCUACAGAGUACGAGUGGUAAGUGGCACUUUUUUUGCAUUACCAUUUAUACAAAUGCAACCAUGUUAUGAUAACACACAGAAAUAUACACAACUGUUUAUUUAGCACAGCAUAUGCUAUACAGUGUACUCGUAAGUCAUGCACAUUUAUAUAAAAAAAAGGUGAAGUAUACACUGCAGACAGGGAAACCAUCAAAYAAAAUAUGAAAGUCACAAUCUGGCUCCCAGUUAAGUUGCCCUCAUCUUCAACAGAAAAAGACCAAUAUUUAAGAGCAUAAUUUUGAAAGAUUCUGUAAAUUCAGCUUUCAGUAAUUCAAACAGUAGUUGAAGAUAGCUAUUCUACAACCUAUCCAGGUUUUCUCAGCAUCUCACAAAACCAGGACUUUGUUGAAGCUUAUCACACAUUGCAUGAACUGUAUAUGAGAAUUCAAUUAUAGAAGUUUUAAUAAGCAUGCUAAUUUAUUACAGCAUUAUUCAAACAUUAACAGAUAAGACCCUGUCAACACCUCUGUAGACCUAUAACUGUUAGAGUUAGCUCCACCUAAAACACCAGGUUGACACUAGCUAUACAAGACCUCAAA